UUGUGGAAGUCUGCAGCGGAGAAUAGAAUCCCUAUAAUAUGGGAACAGGCCAUUCAGCCUAUCGAGUACACAUGGACCCUCCAAACAGCCAGUCCCCUGUAACCCUGCAUUUCCCAUGGCCAUCCACCUAACCUGCACAUCUUUGGACUGUGGGAGGAAACUGGAGCAACCACAGGAAACCCACAGAGUCACCCAAGGCUGGAAUCAAACCCAAGUUCCUAGCGUUAUCAGGCACAGUGCUAACCACCGAGGUACUGUGCCACCAUGUAUAUAGUUAAUGAAAUUAAAACAUUAGGACACCAGAAUUAGUGAAAAGCUUGAGGUUUUGAAGGAAUUUAGAAUCCAGCAAAGGAGCAACAAGACACUGAUUAAAAAACGGAAAAAAAAUUUAAAUCCAUCUGGCAAGGAAAUUGCAAAAGCUUCAUUAGAUAAAUGAAAGUAAAAGAUUAGCAGGGGUAGAUUUGAGUUUGUUAUAGGUUGGGACAAGAGAAUUUAUAUUACAAAACAUGGAAUUGGCAGAUAAACUAGACAGUGGCUUUGCAGUGUCUUCAUGGAAGAAGAUUCAAUGUCGCUGAUAUAUAAGGAGACCAAUUUGUGAAAGUGGGGGGACAAAAAAAAAGCAAUUAACAGUAAAGAGAUGGUAGUUGUAAAAUUAACUGAACUGAAGUUUGAUAAAUCCUGUAGACCAGAUGGGCUUCAUCUUAAAGUGUUGAGAAGAUAGAGAGAUGGUGGAUACAUUGGCAGUUAUCUUUCAAAUUUUGUAGUCUCUGUAAGGAUUCCUGUGGAGUCGAAGUAACAAAUGGAACCCCACUGUUUCAACAUGGCAAAUGAGAGAGAGAAUAAAGAACUACAGACCUGUUAGUUCGACAUCAGUAACAGUAACGAUCUAUAAUGAAAAAUGUGGUUACUAGAUUUUUUAAAACAAAUGGUAGAACUGAGCAGAGUCCACAUGGAUUUAUGAAAGCCAAAUCAUGGCUGAAAUAUGAAGAUUUUGAGGUUGUUGGGUGGAGCAUAGAUUAAGGAGACCUAGUAAAUAUGGCUUUUGAUCAGGUGUCACACAGAAGGUUGGUAAAUAAAAUGAGAUUGCACGAGAUUGGGGAGAAAUAUCCCAGUGUGGAUUGAGAAUUGAUUAACAGUUGGAAAGCACAGAAUAGAGCGCCAUUCUCAGGAUGGCAGGAUGUUACUGGAGUACCACAAUGAUCAGUGCUUAAGCCCUGGCUGUUCACCAUCAUUAUAUGUGAUUUGGAUAUGGGGACCAACUGUAAUAUUUCCAAAUUUGCUGAUGACACCAUGCUGUGAGGAGCAUGCAGGGAGGCUUCAAGGAGACUUUCACAGACUUAGGCAUCUAUUCUUCUAUAUAUAAACCACACCGAAUGCCUUAAUUAGAUUCCAGUCUGUAACUCGCCCUUGGGUAUCUGCUACUCUAUAUAUAAACCACCCCAACUGCCUUGAUUAGAUUCCAGACUGUAACUCACUCCUGGGUAUCUAUGAUUCUGUACAUAAACAGCCUCAAACCCUUUGAUUUUAUUUCAUGCUAUAACUGACACUUUAGUAUGUUAUUCUGUGUAUAAAACAACCCCAAUCUGCUCGAUUAGAUUUCAGACUGUAACUCACUCCCCAAUAUGCUUUGCUGUUUACUAACUUGCUGAGAUCAAUGAGAUUUCAAUCUCUAACUCAGUAGAAAUUGGUUGAAUGUUAAACUGAGAGCAGGAAAAGAGAAAGCUGCAGUUAAAUUUCUGCUACAUUUCUUUUAUGCAAAAGUAUUUUUUUUAUGGAAUGCAGCAGUUCAAUAAAGCAGCUCCCUACCACCUUCUCAAGAGCUGAAAGGAAUGGGAGAUGAAUGCUGGCCCAGCCAGUGAUGCUGUUAUCCCAUGAAUGAAUGAGAAACAAAAACAAUGCCUUUGUCUUCCUAAUUAAUUUCCAACCCUGCAGACGAACUGUGAUUCAGAUCCCUCUGUACCUCAGAGUCCUGUAACAUCUCUCCUUUUAAUUCUUCCCGACAAACAUCAUGCUGUCCACUUUGUACUACAUCGAACAAUGUUUUAUCCACUCAUUGACCAUAUUCAUAUCGCUCGAUUUGAAUACCCUUUAAGUCUCCUUCACAAUUUACCUCAAUAACUAUUUUCAGCAAGAAAACAUUCCAUUUUUAAAUCAAAGACUGACCUGCACUAAAGCCUGUUGAAAAUCCAAAUAUCCUUGUGUUGCUGUAUGUCCUUUGGUCAGUGAAUGUGUCUGUCAGUUUCUCACUCCUCUCUCUGGAAUAUUUAUAAAUUGCCACAUUCAUCGAUUAGCCUUUUUGACUUGGUUCAAGGUGACUAUGACCCCUCUACAACCACAGCAAGACUUCCUCAUAUUAGCUUUUUGUGAUUUGUCUGCAAGGAUCCACACAAUAAUGUUUAAUAACUUAGUGAGUAAAGGAGUACAUGACCCAAUAAUAUAGUGCCCUGGUGGUGCACAGAUACACACAGUUAAGGACACGGAAUGAAAAAUUAAUAUUAGGAUUGUCAAAUAUUAAAACUCCAAACAAUCCUUGAACAUCAAAUAACAGAGGACAAUCACACAGCUGAAUCAGGGUCAAGACUCACCACCCCCAUGACACAGAGGUUCCUGACUCUCUCAGCACAUUGGAAUCAGAUGCUGUGUUUGGGAGCAGGAAAUGGCACAUGGAUUAAGAUCAGUUCAUGAGGAUGUUAAAGACCAGGCAUUUGACAGAGAAACGGAACAGGACAGAGAAAAAUCAUACAAAGAGCUUGGUGUUGAAUUUGCGGAGUGGUUCCAUUCUCGUUGAGAGUAUUGACCCUAUGGUAUCACAAUCAAGAGUUCAGGGAUGAAUUUGUGUAUUUGUAUCAAAUGCAACAUUUUACCUGUCCAAGGGAGUGGAUGAUGGGGACAGUGUAAAGAGAGCUUUCACUUUGUAUCCAACAUUGUGUUGCCCCAGAUACUCACCUCCUGCUCUGUCCACAUGGCAAAAGGAACAAUAGUUGCCAGGACCUAUUAAAUACUUUCGGGUCAGUCACUCAAAGCCCAGCUCAUCCAGUCAGCUCCCAACUUCCUCUACCUGAGGCACACCGCCCUCAAGUAUGGAGCACUCAGAGGCAGCUUUAUGAGAUUGGAGGGAGGUGGGAGAGAAAGCAGCACCUUAAUUAUUUAGUCCGGAUGCCUCUGGCUGGCCACCUCCUUACCUCACACAUACUGGCUCCAGACUUAAAAUCCAUACAGAAACAAAGCUGCAGUUUUAAACAGACAGCAGCCACAGCACAGACUUAUUCCACAAGGGAACAAGGAUUUUCAUACACAUCAACACAAAGUGUAAGUGGGCCUGAAAUGAACAAGUCAGCGAGUUUCUUUUUAAUAAGUUUCUGCAAAUUCCACAAAUAAAUAAAUCCAUCUAUUUGACAAAUGAACAGUGAUUACACAGAUGUAUUGUACAAAUGAAUCCAAGUUUAUUAGACAGAUCAACCCUGACAAUAUACCAAGGACAUUACGUCUGUAUGGAUGUGUUUGCGAAUAUCUGUCUCUUUCUUUCUCUCUCUCUCUCUUUCUCUUUCUCGGCCUGUGUGUCACUGUGACCAUCUCUGUUGGCAAGAGGACACACUUUGUCCUAGAGGGAAACGUGUGUGUCUGUGUUUCCCUGUCUGUGUAUAGGAGUGUGUCUGGUUUUGUGUGUAUGUAUACAUGCGAUCAAUCCCCCAGUUUUCCACUGGAGCCAGGAGCAGGACAGUUAAAGAAUGAUUGAAUUCUGUUUCCUGAAUUCCUAUCUCACACUUAAUGAUACCUUUUGUAAGUGAUACCUCUUCACUGGAUUUUACAAGGGGAGCGAAAACAGAAAUUGUUCAAAAGAUCAGGAGGCCUUAGUUCUGAGGAAAGGUCACUUGACCCAAAAUGUUAACUCUGAUUUUUCUCCACAGAUGCUACCAGACCUGCUGACCUUUACCAGCAAUUUCUGUUUGUUUCUGAUUUACAGCAUCCACAGUACUUUUGGUUUUAGUUACUUUAAGGGAGGAUUGGUAGCCAGGAAUCCUAACUCAAGCCUUUGUCAAGAUGAGACACAGCUUGUCACAAUCUUCAUAUUAUUGGCCAUUGAAUGAGACAGAACAGACAAACUUUGAAAAUCCAAUAGUUUACAAGCCCUGGUGGAUUGACUCACUCUCAGAUCUUAACAGGAUGUUUGUUUGGAAUUCUUGCUGAUAAAUGUGCCUGUGAUUCUCAGCAAAACAAAUCUAAAUCAGGAAAAAGAAGACCUCACUGCCUUGGUUGCAGCUGUCCUAAGCUUCAGAGCAUCCCUCAGCACGUAGUUCAGGACCUUGGAAUGAGCCAGUCUGUAAUGUUUGGUUGGAGUCGACUCUUUCACCUGAAAGACCAAAGUGCGUCUUUCACCAAGUUGAUGGUCAUCUGCGUGCAGUUUAUGUUUGUCUUGGCGUAUAUUCCAGCGAACAGAGCACAGAGUCCUGCGUCACAGACGAACCGCUGCAAAAACCAUUGCAUCUUUCUGCACACUUCCUUUGCAGAGGCUUUUCUUCACAAAUUACAGGUGAUACAGGAUGGUCCAGCUAUAUGGAGGCCAGACCUAUCCUUCAUAACAACGUAGACAGGUAGAACCUCAGUAAGUAGUGGCACUUGGUUUUUGCAUACUGAUGGUCUACAGACAGCUUGAUGUGGAAUACUUGUAAGUGCGUGGUAAAAUAGGGUAGAGUCAGCAUGGCUUUGUCAGUGGGAGGUCAUGCCUGACAAAUCUGUUAGAAUUCUGUGAGGAGGUAAAGCGCAAUUAGACAAAGAAGAGCCACUGAAUGUGAUGUAUUGGAUUUCCACAAGACCUUUGACAAAGUGCUGCGUAAAGGCUGCUACAAAAAUCCCAUAGUAUAAGUGGCAAUGGUACUGGCAUGGAUAGAGAAUUGGGUGACUGGCAGAAGGCAAAGAGUAGGAAUAAAAGGGAACUUUGCCAGGAUGUUAACUGGUGACUACUGCAGGGGUCAGUGUUGGAACCACAGUUGUUCAUGUUAUAUGUGAACAAUCUGGAUGACGGGACUGAAGAUUAUGCUGAGCUUGCAGCUGACACAAAGAUAGGUGGUGGGACAGGUAGUGUUGAGGGAGUUGGGGGGGGGGGAAAGGUGCAGAAGAACUUGGACAGGGUAGGCAAAUGGGCAAGGAAGUGACAGAUGGAACAUGUGGACAAGUGUGAGGUUGUGCAGUUUGGCAGAUAGAGCAGAGGUGUAGACUAGUUUCUAAUUAGGGAAGGACUUUGGAAGUAAGUGCAGAGACUUGAAUGUCCUAGUUCAGGAUUCUCCAAAGGUUGAAACGGAGGUUCAGUUGGCAGUUUGGUGGGCAAAUGCCACUUCAACAUUUAUUUCAAGAAACUUAGAAUACAAGAACAGAUGUACUGCUGAGGAUAUAUCAGCUGUAGUCAGACUGCAUUUGCACUAUUGACAGCAGGAGCAUGUGCUGGUGAUGGAAGGGAUCCAGAGAUGAUUUACAAGACUGAUCCCAGAGAUUAAGGAUUUGUCAUACAAGGAGCAGUUGAGAACUCCAGGCCUGUGUUUGAUUGUGUUUAGAAGUAUGAGGAGGAGAUGAUUGAAACUUGCAAAAAACAGAGGGGCCUGGAUAGAGUGGAUGUGAAGAGAGACUACAACCCAAGGGCACAACUUCAGAGAGACGGACAACCCUUCAAAACUGAAAUGAAGAGUUUCUUCAGCCAGAGGGUGGUGAUUCUGUGGAACUCAGAGCAGGCCAAGUAUAUUCAAGACACAAAUAUUUAGGUUCUUGAUCGGUGAGGGGAUCAAUGUUUACGGCAGAAAGCAGGAGAAUGAGGUUGAGAAACACUAGCCAGGAUCAAGUUGUGGAGCAGAUUCGAUGGGCUGAAUAGCUUAUUUCUGUUCCUGUCAUCUGGUGGUCUUAUGGAUGACUUCAAUCUGUGUAUAGACUGAGCAAAUCAAAUCAUUAAUAUCAGACAAAUUUCUAGAGGAUGCACAAAAUGGUUGUUCGAUCGAUACGUUGAGGACCCAAAUGGAGGACAAGUCAUCUUCACCUGUGUAUUGUGUAAAUGGCUGGGGGAGGGGGUGGAUUAGCUCAUUUGGCUAGAUGGCUGGUUUGCAAUUCAGAGUGACUUUAACAUCAUGUGCUCAACCAGCUGAGGUCACCAUGAAGGUCCCACAUUCUUCACCUUGCCCCUUGCUCAAUACAUUGGUGACCCACAGGUUAAAGCACAACUAGUCCUCUCUCUCCCUCUCUCUCUUUCUCUAGAGAGGGGUUCUGUGAUUCUCUUGGCCAACAAGGGAUAUUUGUGAUAGUACUGGAUCCAAGCAAGAGGCAUUAAAAUCGGCUAAAGACAGCAGCCGAUCUAAAAGACAGAGCAGUUCAGAUUUCAGCAAUAAGAGAACUAAGCGAUUGAUUAAGACGGGAAAAAUAGCUUGAGAGUGACCUUGCAGGAAACAUACAAACUAAUUGUAAGAGCUCCUAAAAGGUAUAGGGAGAGACAAAAAGAUUUCUGAAAACUAAUGUAGAUCUCUUACAGUCAGAAUUAGGAGAGGUUAUAAUGUGGAAUAAAGAAAUGGCAGACCAGUUGACCACAAAGAAUAACACAAACAAUAUCCCUAAAAUGCUGGGAAACACAUGAGGGAGGAACUGUAGGAAAUCGGUUUUAGUAGGGAAAUGGUGUUGGGGAAGUUGAUGGGAUUAAAAGCCAACAAAUCACAGCACCUGGUAAUCUAAACCCCAGAGUAAAAGUGGCCCAAGCUUUAGUAAAUGCAAAAAAAAUUGAAUGUUUCCAAGAAGAUGAUGGAUAGGGAUCAAAGGGAACGUGACAAAAGCGGAAUAGGCCGAGUGGGAUGAUCAGCCAUGAUUGCAUUGAAUAGUGGAGCAGGAUCAAGAAGGCCUACUCCUGUCGAAGAAUAUUCUGCUGUUCAGUAGUGAGUUACAAUCUGGAAGCAGCUUCACCACAUGGACUGCAUCAGUUCAAAAAGAUCAAGGAGGGGCAGAGUGAUUUUGAAAGCUUUGUGACUGAAUGUGCAAAAUGGAGCAAUCUCAUUUUCUAUCCAGUUAUCAAUUGUUGAAUGUUCUGAGAAAGGACACAUAGUAUGUAUGAAAUAAGUAAAUAUUUAUGGAUGUUUGCUGAAACUGUUGGUAUUCACUGCUGUCUUAAAAGCUGAUCUAGUUUCCAUGUACCUGUGAACAACUCAUUAUCCAAGAAUUGCACAAAGGCACAUAACCAGAGAUAAGAAGCAACAGAAAUCUCAAACACAAUCAGCAGAAACAACAACAAAAUACCAAACAAGAUUUUUAUUUUAACCAUCAUUCAAGGCUGAGAGGUGAGUGGACAAGACAACAAUAAAUCAAAUCAAAUCAGGAGGUAAAACAGAGCAAUAUAUGGACAUGGAUUCAGAUCCACAGUCAAGUAGCCACAGCACUGCUCAGAAAUAUUGAAAUUGUAGAUGAAUGCUCAAAAAUACUCACCUGCCAAAGAACCUAGCUGUUUUGAAAACUCCUGCUGGAGCCUGCAGCUGGAAAGAUAUCAGAAGCCAGGAAAAUAAAUUCUUGCUGCCCUCAAAUUUUAUAAAUCCCUGGGGAAGGAGAUGACAGAAAUCAGAAGUUUCAGUCAAGGUUAGAAAUGCAAAGUCGGGGUCCCAGGAGAUUGGAAAUAAAGUGGAGUUGAAGUCUGAAUCAGACCAGCUACAAUCUUACAGAACAGGCUCGAUUGGCCAAAUAGGACCAUAAAAGGGAAAGGAGUAGAAUUAGGCCAUUCGGCCCACUGAUUCAGUUCCCCUUUUCAAUCAUGGCUGUUAUUUCUCAACCCAAGUCUCCUGACAUCUCCCCAUAACCCCUGAUCCCCUUACUAAUCAAGAACCUAUUUCUGUAUUUAAAUACACCAAAUGAUUUGGCCACCAGUCUUCUGGUGGCAAUUCACCAGCUUCUGGCUGAAGAAAUUUUGCAUCUCAGUUAUAAAGGGUUCUGAUGCUGUGCCCUACAGUCCUCGUCUCUGCUUCCAGGGAAAACAUGUUCUGCAAGCAUUUGAUUUGUUUAUUGUCACAUGUAUCUUGUUACAACAGUGUGAAAAGUAUGCUAGAGUUGCCACUCUCCAGCACCAUCCUAAAACAGAAAAGUAAACCAAACAUACAAUAUAAAUGCAGAAUGAUGAAGAAAUAAAGAAAAUAUCCAACUUUACAGUCCUUCUUGUCAAGUGCUGUGUCAUGGGCCUGGUGGCCAAAUAUGCAUUCCCUUCAGCUGGCCACAGUUGUUGGAAUGGAAGUUGCCAUUCUUCCACACCAUCUAAACUCCACUGAUGACUUCACCGCUGGGAGUCCUCCUUGGAUCUCAACAACACAGAC